rnacentral:rRNA from 1 species
AUUGAACGCUGGCGGCAUGCCUUACACAUGCAAGUCGAACGGCAGCACGGGAGCAAUCCUGGUGGCGAGUGGCGAACGGGUGAGUAAUAUAUCGGAACGUGCCCAGUCGUGGGGGAUAACGUAGCGAAAGCUACGCUAAUACCGCAUACGAUCUAUGGAUGAAAGCGGGGGAUCGCAAGACCUCGCGCGAUUGGAGCGGCCGAUAUCAGAUUAGGUAGUUGGUGAGGUAAAGGCUCGCCAAGCCGACGAUCUGUAGCUGGUCUGAGAGGACGACCAGCCACACUGGGACUGAGACAGGCCCAGACUCCUACGGAGGCAGCAGUGGGGAAUUUUUGGACAAUGGGCGCAAGCCUGAUCCAGCAAUAGCCGCGUGCAGGAUGAAGGCC